rnacentral:lncRNA from 1 species
GGACCAUCAGUUUCAGGAACUGCCUUUGCCAGCCUCCCUGUAUGCCUUCACACCCAAUACCCACCCCUCACAGGAACCCUGAGCACUCUCUUGCUUUGGAACCAAGGAACUGGUGCACGUGGAGGGGUUUGGAUUUGUUGGCUCCUCGAAACACAUUCCUGCUCUGUUGUUCUGCAAAAAGAAAAUUUGUAAAACUGGGAACAUGAGAAAGCCAGACAGACCUUUGCUCUCUUCCACGAAUGUGGAGUCAUAAAUGAAGAAGUGAAGCAUCUACCACCAGACGGUCCCACUGCUUCCAAGUGGCACACUACCUCCGAGUCAGCACGGUUUCACCCCUGGGAGUGGUUCCCCUGGGGUUCUGCCUGCAGGACAUCUGACCGCUCUCCCUGUGCCCCCGCGAUUUGAGGCGUCUGUCUUCAGCUCCGCACAGGUCCUCUUAGCCUAUUACUCAAUUAGAAAGGUAUGUGCUCCCUGGCUGGCAUUCUAGGAUUUGUGAUACUAGAAUUUAAGACUUUGAUGAUAAACAUUUGACUUCUGGUGUUUAUAAUUUAAACUACAAAAAUUGCCUCAGAAACAAUUGCAGCAUGUGGCUCUUAUAACACAGUAACUGUAUCUAUUACUCCUUAGGGGAAAACAGUUCUCUGCAGUUAUUUAAACUUGAGACACAACUUGCUUCAAAAAUGUAAACAAUAAAUUUUUUGGGUGCAAUCUUCAAGCAACUUAAUGAAAACUGGCAUUACUUUUACUGGCAAAGCAUGACAGCUCAAAUGGACACUGCUUGUUAUCCCAGGUCUGAUAUAACACCAACCAGAAACAUACAUGACACGAGGACAAGUUAACCUUAAAAACAUUACGAAAGCUGAUUAUUAGUAAAGGUAUUUUUACAAUGGCCUCUAUAGUUUAAAAACAUCAGAUAACUUUCAGGAAAAUACCAUGCCUCCAUUUUCCAUGUGGACUGCAUUAUAUAUUUUCCUGAAUUGAUAAAUCUCAAGAAAAAGUAUAAGUUUGUUAGGAGCUAAGGCACAAAACCAGACGCAGGGUAGGUUUAGAUAGCUAAUAGACAGACUUAAAUCAUUCGGAUUGGCUAUGAUGGUCAAGUUACUAAAUGUUAAUUACUAGACCAAUUCAUCUCUAUUUCUUUUUAUACUGCAUAGGCCUCACACUUUGCUUUUCUCUGUUGUGAGAAUUUAUGAGAUCUUUGCCAAAAUACAGCCCUGAUGUGAAAAGUGAUAACCGUGUGGGAGGCUCAGAUUCUCUACCCCAUCAUAUAAUCUGAUUACUCACCAGGGUGGCUGGUUACCCAAGUGGUGCGGCAUCGUGCUGAUUAAACCCAGGUUAUGAGUUUGAUUGGUGCAUGAGCCCUGGCCACAGAUCAGAGCUUGGCCCCAGGCGGUGGCUUCCAAUGUGUGUUGUGGGAUGCCAGCAGGGCAAGUGAGGGAAUGGGAACUGUGAAUCUAUAGCUAAAAUGGCAUCAGCAAAAUGAUCAACGUAUGCACCCUACUCAUAGUCAAAAUGUCACCUUUGGGGAGUCCUUCCCCUUAGAAGGUAGAAAAUGACAAAGGAACAUCAUUCCUACCCUAAUGGGAACAAGAAGCCAAAUAAGCUGCAAGAUCAUAACUUUGUAGAUGCCCAUUAGAAAGGUGAAGUCACAAGGCCACCAAGUCAACAGGAUUCUAAAGAGGGAUCUGCCAGGCACAGUGGCUCACACCUGUAGUCCCAGCACUUUGGGAGGCCAAAGCAGGACGAUCGUUUGAGGCCAGAAGUUCAAGAUCAUCCUGGACAUAGUGAGGCCCCUUUCUCUACAAAAAAUUUAAAAAGUAGCCAGGCGUGGAGGUGUGCACCUGUGGUCCCAGCUGCUUGGGAGGUUGAGAUGGGAGGAUUGCUUGAACCCAGGAGGUUGAGGCGGCAGGAAGCUGUGAUUGUGCCACUGCACUCCAGCCUGGGUGAUGGAGCAAGAGCUUGUCUCUAAAUAAAUAAAUAAAUAUUAUAACUGUCCAGUCUGUGGUCAUUUGUUAUAGCUGCCCAAGCUGACUAAAGUGAACCCUUUGCCACUGGAGGGGUGAAAGCAAAACCCACUGGCUUGGAGAAGGAAUGGAAAACUCUCCUGCCCCCGAGACAUGAGCUGUGCACCUUGGCGUCUCUGGGAGAAGAAGAAACUAAGUUUCCUUGCACCUGGAGGAGGGAUGAGACACCUUCUUGAAGCCAGGAUUAAUCUGUGCAAUGCAGAAGUCAGCUAUCACAGGGGGAGGGGCAGACACUCUCACCUGACCUAGCUCCAAGGCUGAAUUCUAUGCCAUGGGGCAGGAGGGAGGGACUGUGAGAAAGCCCACCCAUUCCUUAGCCCAGUGGAGGGCCUGAGACUAAGCCUGGGUGGAGAGAACAGAGAGCUCUCCUGCCCCAACCCAAUCCUCCAAGUACCAAGACCCAGCGUCAACCCCUGGGGCAAGGGCAGGAACAUGGAGAGUAACUCCCUCUGUGGCACAGGCUUCCAGGGGUUGCUGGAAGUUGGGAGUGGAGCAAGAACACUGAGAAAGCCCCUCCAACAUGCCAGACCCACUCUGCACACAGGAAACAGCAGCCCACAGAUGGGGGCAUUGAAGUCCAUGCACUGAAAGUAUCGAAGCAACAACAAACCCAAGCCCAACUCAGCUCCUAAGAGAUUGACUUAACCCCACAAGACAGCCAGACAGAGGAGGAGGUCUGUGGAUUUCCUGGCUUCCUGGCCUAACUACUAUUUACCUCUGUCUCUACUGUUCUCCUGACCCACGAAGUCCAGCAUGCAAAAUAUUAGUAGACACACCUAAAGGCAAC